GUAGGGAAUAUUGGACAAUGGGCGAAAGCCUGAUCCAGCCAUGCCGCGUGAUAGAUGAAGGCCCUCUGGGUUGUAAAUAUCUUUUAUCUGGGAAGAAACUCCUCUAUUCUUAGAGGCCUGACGGUACCAGAGGAAUAAGCACCGGCUAACUCCGUGCCAGCAGCCGCGGUAAUACGGAGGGUGCAAGCGUUAUCCGGAUUCACUGGGUUUAAAGGGUGCGUAGGCGGGUUGAUAAGUCAGUGGUGAAAGCUCCGGGCUUAACUUGGAAACUGCCAUUGAUACUGUCAAUCUUGAAUGUCGUAGAGGUAAGCGGAAUGUUGCAUGUAGCGGUGAAAUGCUUAGAUAUGUUACAGAACACCAAUUGCGAAGGCAGCUUACUAUGCGAUAAUUGACGCUGAGGCACGAAAGCGUGGGGAGCAAACAGGAUUAGAUACCCGAGUAGUCC
rnacentral:rRNA from 1 species